AGGUUAAGUGAAUAAGGGCGCACGGUGGAUGCCUUGGCACUAGGAGCCGAUGAAGGACGGGACUAACACCGAUAUGCUUUGGGGAGCUGUAAGUAAGCUAUGAUCCAG
rnacentral:rRNA from 1 species